UCCGGUUUGUCACCGGCAGUCUCCUAUGAGUCCCCAACUGAAUGAUGGCAACAUAGGACGGGGGUUGCGCUCGUUGCGGGACUUAACCCAACAUCCCACGACACGAGCUGACGACAGCCAUGCACCACCUGUGAUGGUGUCCCGAAGGAAAACCGUGUUUCCACGGCGGUCACCAACAUGUCAAGCCUAGGUAAGGUUCUUCGCGUUGCAUCGAAUUAAGCCACAUGCUCCGCUGCUUGUGCGGGCCCCCGUCAAUUCUUUUGAGUUUUAGCCUUGCGGCCGUACUCCCCAGGCGGGACACUUAACGCGUUAACUGCGGCACAGAGGGAUUCGACUCCCCCCACACCUAGUGUCCAUCGUUUACGGCUAGGACUAC
rnacentral:misc_RNA from 1 species